UACCUCCCAGUACUUGGGUUCCUCUAUUUCAGUCACAACUUGUCAGUUCAUCACUUCCCUGAUAUUCUAGUCACUUUUCCUUGUCCCUGCUUCUUGGUUUCCUCAUGUCUCUGCAUUGGAUUUAUGUUUACGCCUUGGACUUUGUUUUCCCUGUGGAUUAACAUCUAGUUUGGAAAUACAAGAUGAUCUUGACAACCAGUUGAACUCUAAUCAGAGUUACGCAGAUCUAUCAGAUGGGAAUACCACAAGUUAUAAUAUAUCGGAUUAUAAUAACCAGACAUCUGACAAGACAUCUGAUAAAACUGGAACUAAGUGUAGCUACCGGGAUGUUCUAGAGUACCUGAACCUGAUCAAAAGCAAUGAUGCGUUGACCAUGAGCAGACCUGUUAGACACUAUGAAAAAAAAACUUUUGUUUACAUUGAAAUGAGGAUCUAUGCCAUUCUAGAUGUGAGAGAAGCCGAUCAGUCCUUUAUAUCAUAUAUUUGGAUUCUUUUGG